UUAACCCGGGAAACUCAUUUCAAAAAUGACAGGCUAGAGUCUUGUAGAGGGGGGUAGAAUUCCAGGUGUAGCGGUGAAAUGCGUAGAGAUCUGGAGGAAUACCGGUGGCGAAGGCGGCCCCCCUGGACAAAGACUGACGCUCAGGUGCGAAAGCGUGGGGAGCAAACAGGAUUAGAUACCCUGGAGUCCACGCUGUAAACGAUGUCGAUUUGGAGGUUGUGCCCUUGAGGCGUGGCUUCCGGAGCUAACGCGUUAAAUCGACCGCCUGGGGAGUACGGCCGCAAGGUUAAAACUCAAAUGAAUUGACGGGGGCCC
rnacentral:rRNA from 1 species